AAGCCCCCCAGUACAUAGUUGUAUAUUCUUCGUUGUGGGUCCUUUUAGUUGUGGCAUGUGGGACGCUGCCUCAGCGUGGUCUGAUGAGCAGUGCCAUGUCCGCGCCCAGGAUUCGAACCAACGAAACACUGGGCCGCCUGCAGCGGAGCACGCGAACUUAACCACUCGGCCACGGGGCCAGCCCCUAUAUAUAUAUUUUUAUAACUGCUUUAUUUCAGGGCCAUGGGCAAACGCUAUAAGGCUCUGGCACUUCUUCAGUUUUUUUUCACACGAUUAUAUGGCUUCAACAGCUGAAAGUUUGAUGUUUAUCAUUUACUCUAAGAUUAUGAAGUCAUUCUCCAAAAUAAGGAAAUCUAAACUGUAUCAAAUUCAGUAUUUCUUUCCUAUAUAGGUUAGAUGAAGUUUCAAACAGAUAGCUGCUGUAGAUUGAGUGUGUGCGUCCUCCAAAAAUUCCUGACUGCCAUGCAAGGGGGCUCCAGGAGCAUAGCAGACACCAGUAAACAAACACUUGCCGGCAGCUCCAGGUCGACAUGCAGUUGGAAGACUGCCUGCCAGCACGGCUCCACCUUCUCCUGCUCCUGGUUGCCCUCCUGCAGACUGCACAGCCACAAGCUCUGGCUCAGAAACUUGUUGGUCCUCUGAUUUGCUGAGAUGUCCAGCAGGCAUUGUGAGCAUCUUUCCAUCCAUCCUAAGUCUCAACUUAAAUAUUCUCAGAGAAGACUUUCCUCAUUCUACAAUCUUUUCGUAUCAGGAAAUUUUUCUUUAUAAGUAUGUAUCAUACCAAAUAUAAGAGAGCAACAGUUAGUUCUCCUUUGUUCAUGAUUUAUACUUGGCCCCUAAACAGUACCUGGAAUAGAAACUAUUUGUUGAAGUAAUAGAAUGGGGUCACUAAUUAUGGAACUGCUCCAAAGGGACACCCAGGAUGAUUUCUCAGUGAUCUCAGUCUUUCCGUGACGCAUAGUAGGACGAUUACUUGCUAUGGACUGAAUUGUCUGCCUAGAAAAUUCCUAUGUUGAAGCUCUGACCUCUCCCUCAUCUGACUAUAUUAGAGAGAGGGCUUUUACGGAGGUGAUUAAGGUUCAGCGAGGUUGUAUGGGUGGAGCUCUGAUCUGAUGCAAUUAGUGUCCACGCAAGAAGAGACAUCGGAGAGUUUGCUCUCUCUCUGUCUCUCCAGACACCCACGGGGGAGAGUCCAUGUGAGCACACAGUGAGAAGGCAGCCAUGCACAAGCCAGGAAGAUGGUUCUUGUCAGAACCCAGCCAUGCUGGCACCUUGAUCUCAGACUUCCAGCUUUCAGAACUGUGAGGAAAAAAAUUUCUGUUGUUUAAGUUGCCCGGUUGAUCAUAUUGUGUUAUGGCAGCCCAAGCUGACUGAGCUAUUACCUUAUGUCUAUGCAAAUCCUCUAGGUUCUAGCAGAGAGUAUUUUCAAGAUUAUGUUGGACCAGUGAUUUGAAGAGAUUUUUAUCUUCAGGAAAGUAAGUUAAGCCUCUUCACCUAUCAAAUGAUUUAUAGGAAGAUCAUAAAGAAAAAUAACACAAAAUUCACAAGGUGCUACUAUAAUGACUGUAAAAGAGCAUAAAGUUUAAUGAGCUGCAUUCAGCAGACAAGAAUUAGGUAAAGCCGUUAAUUUAAUGGGAGAUGUUAGUUCAUAACCGUCUAGGUGCCUUUUUUCCCCAAGAUUAAAAAUGAAGUUGUUCUGUAUGUUUUCUCAUUUUAGAUAUAGAGUAAUGUUGAAUCUUAAACUUACAUUAUUCAGCUAUCUGGUAUGAUUAUGUUUAAAAAGGUAGUCAGCAUGGGAAAUGUCGGAUGUAAUAUUUUGUGGUUUCGAGUAAGAUAACCUAAAUAUAAAUGAUAUUUGAUAUUGGCUUUUAUUUUUGAAUAAUUUUCCAAACUUAAAAUGAAUCAACAUGUUCAGUGCUUAAAUUCUAAUGAAUUCAGGCAGUUCUGAUGAAUGUUGUUACUUUGCAUUAUUCCUAACUUCCUUAAGCAUACCAAGAUGAUGAAAAGAAAUUAUAGGUAAUAUUAUGGAUGAAAAUAUAGGAAUACACAAUUAAUGAAAUUAAAUACUUUCUCAGUUUUUUGUUUCUUAAGGUACAUUUAUAAUAAAAGUUUGAGAGGGCAGGAAUAUGUUACAUUGUAUGCGUACAAGUAGUUAUUAUAGUAAUAUGUUCAUCUUUAAGCAAGUUAAGUGAUUUUAGUUUCCAUAAAGUAAUUUAUUAAAUGCUGCAUUACCCAAAGAUGAUGUUAUUAACCCAUUAACACCUAGAAAGAGGUUUAGAGUGCUAUAUUCAAUAGUGAUGUCUAAUUUGUUUUGGGUCUUCUGCCCUUCAUUCAUUAUUGGGCACAUUGGAAAGGUAACUGACCUGUGAAAUGGUUGUUCCUUUUUUUAGAGGCCAACAUAGUACAGAGACAUUUUCUUGCAAUACUAACAUGGUAGCUCCAAUCCGUUAUUUUAAACAAACUCAGGUAACAGUUCUACAGUGUAAGAGAAGCACAUUCUAACCUAAGAGAAAGGAAAAGAAAGAACAAUAUGUAUCAUGAAAGGAUGUUAAGGGAAGACAAUAUUUGAUGCUCCUGUACUGUUGGGACCAGAGUUAUGGCCAGCCAUCUGCUGCUAGGGAACCGUCUCACUGCUGUUACACCUACUUUCCCUAUUGCCCAAUUGAUUAAAAAGUUCAGAUCUAAGGAAGAUCCAAUAGACGCAGGAUGAACCUGAACCGACUUUGCAUUAGAGUUUAAUAUAACAGAAAAGCUCUUUUUUUUAAGUGACUUGACACCAGAAGGAAUUUUCACAACUGAAUUAUUAUUCCCAGCUGUGAUGCCUCACUGAUCAAAUAAUGCAUAUUAUCAACUCCAUAAAGAGCAUUUAUAUCCUCCUCUCACCUACCUUACUCACUCCUUCAACUGUUUGCUUUCCACCACUUCAUAUAGACAAUAUAGACAGACAGCAAUAGAAUAAAAAAUAGAAAUAGAAAUAGAAAUCUAUCUUUUUCAUUCAGAAGCGCUCAGAUUUCUCUCUCCUGAUAUUGGAUGCCUCCCUUACACACCUCAGAUUACCUUUUAGUUUUUAUUACUUUCACAUUUCCUUCUUAUGUCUCUUCUUCCUUCUGUCCUCUGGCCAAGGUCCUUAACAGACCGGUAAAGAAAACUACGUAUUUAAAUAUGCUGCAUUGGAAUAAGGCUACUUGCUCAUGCCAAGUUGGCUUACACUAUAAGAAAAGGUGUUAAAAAAACACUAGAUACAUCAGCAUUCUGCAUUUAUAAUAAGUUCCUUUUCUAUUUUUCUGAUUUAUGUAUGUUAUGUAUCCAUGUUGACUCGUCUCUUUACUUCGAGAAUUUUCCUCAUCUAUUGCUUGUUAUGGCCUCUACUGUCAUUAUACUGCCUACUUGUCUACUUGACCAUUUACAUCAGUGGCCCCCAAAAUUUCAGAUUUGUAUACACAAAAUUUUCCCUGUGGCACCUGUUAACAUUCUGAUUCAAGACACAAUCUUCGCAACUCUGAUCCUGCGAUUCCUAUGUACUCAGUGUGUUCUGACUAAUGCCUAGGGAUUUUUUUUGCAACUAAUUUAACUUGAUCCUUUGAAUUAGGGAUAAAGAGGCAUCCUUAUGACAUCAUCUGAUCCUAAGGGAAGAUGUGCUUGUGUGAAAGACAAAAGAGACAUUCAUAUGCACUAGAUAUUUUGUAUCAUUUAAUCCAAAUAAAUGUAUACAAUUCUAGAUAUUUACGAGCCCGUUUUCUUAAGAAAUAAUAGAUGGAGUGAUAAAUGGAUAGAAACUGAAAUCAUGUCUCUGAAUGGAUGAAACAACAUAAAUCUAAUCUGAAAUAGACAAUGAUCUCAUAAAAUAGAAUACAUUGAACAAGAAUGGGCAAACACUUCCACAUCACAAGUUUUUCUCAAUAUUCAAGUAGAUUUAUAGCAUAUUCCAACAACAAAAAACUGCUGAAUAUUAUUCAAAUACCAAAAAUAAAUGUGGAGUAGGCAAAUGAAAUUGGUUUGAAUAAAGCAGUUGAGAUAUUGGGAAGUUAAAAUAGCUGUCAUAUGCUGGCAUAAAAUAUCUGCAUUUUCUUUCCUAGUUGGUAAAUGAGCAAGACAAACUUUUAUAAGAUAUUCUUUCCAUAUCAGAUUUUAGCCUUAUUUUUUUUCUGCAUAGCCGCCUAUUGCUCCAUUAUGCCUCUGACAAUGUCCAUUUAAUUUGAUGAACGUGUUUUGUGUUCAAUGCAGAAUAGCUGAAAUAACCUGAAACGCCUAAUCCUCCUGACGUGCUCUGAAUUUACAGAAGCUUCUAAAGAAAUAAUGCAUGAAGCCAGGGAUAUUCUGUGGAAUUGUAGCUGUCAAAGACAGAGUGGCAGGCUAUUUGGCUAUUGGAAUAAAGGAAUGGAGUAGGACAAUUGAAAAGUAUGAUACGUCCUUCUAAAUAGAUCUGCCCCUUUUUGAGACCUUACUGGGCAUAAAAGUGAAAGCAUGACAAUAACUUUGAAAACGAAACAAUGAAAUGUAGCCAUAAAAUUAAUUCAAUAACAGAUGGUCAAGAGAAAGAUUAUUGAAUCCAAUAUGAGAAAUAGUUGUAUCUAUUGUGCUAUUUAACAUACGGCAGGUAGGGAGAAAAUGAUGUAGUCUAUCCUAAAUUCCAUAAUUUAUAAAAGGGGAAGUCUCUUUGUCAUUUAAAAGAAAUAAUAGGAGAAAAAUUAGAGUGUAUGAAAUAAGAGUACUAGCAGCUAUUCAUUCAAUUGCUCCUUCAACAAAUAUUUAUUGAGCACUCACUGUGAAUUAGCCACUGAAGGAGACACUAACAAUGUAAAAAUGAUUAGGAUACAGUUAAAUUUCUCAUAGAAUUCAACUACACAAGGAAGAACAGAAAAGUAUAAAGGCAAAUAUAGAUAAAUAUAGGUAGAUGACAGAUAGAUAAAUACACAUAUAUUGUCAAAACCGGAAAUUGAAGGGGAUCCUCCGUUCAGGCAGAGAGAACAGAACUCAGAAAGACUUUUGCAGGUGACACUGAGCUACAUAUUAAAAGAUAAAUAGAUACCACAUGAGGACCAUCCAUCUGAGUGUGAGACAAGUGCAAAGACAGAGAAGUGUGAAACGCAUGAAGCAUUCAUCAGUGAAGAGUUUAACGUGGCUAGCAUAUAGAAUGCAAAAGGCAAUAAAAUAAUCUUUGGUUCUUGUCCUCCCUCUGACCUUGACAAAAUUCACUUAGCUUAAUUUGGCAUACUCAUUCCUUCUCUGGAAAAUGAUGAGGAUAAAUACAUUGUUAGAGUUUCUUCCAAUUCCAAUUUUUAAUGACCUUAUUAAUUUCAAAAUAUUUGCUAACAAUUCUAUCACAUAGUAAAUACUGUCCCUUUAAUUCUUAUAAAAAUAUGUAAUAUAUAUGGUAUGUAAUUAUAUAUAAACUUAUAUAAAAUGUAUCCAUUAAUUAUAUAUUAAUAUAGUAAUCAUGUACAAAAUAUAUUAAAGAUAUACUUAAAAUAUUUUUGUGUGUGUGCAUGAGCACCAACCCUAGGCUAGUCCUAGGCAGAAUUUUAAGACCUGUAUAUAUUAUCUUCAACAUUCUUUCCUGUGCCUUUUAUUUAUUUUCCCUCUACUAACCGGAAGUUGAUGUUGUCCGGGUGCCACUUUCACCACACUUCACUUUGGUGCCACUGAUAGUACCAUCCCCACAUCCUGAUGUGACUUCCUUCACCUCUACCAUAACAUGCAUGUCCUAUAGCUGAGUCUCUCAAAUCAUUGCUAAAUUAGUAACUAAUUUCUGUCAACUAAAUAUAACAAUUACAUUGAUGAAGGUUCUCUGUCGAGUGAUUUAACAGGGGAUUUCUGGAACAAACAAUUCACUUAUUCAAUUGUACAUUUGGCAAUGUUGGAAUGAGCUCCAGUGAUAGAUGACAGAAAAAUAGUUAAAAUGCUAGAGCCAUUUCAUGGGUUCCCUCUUACGUUCCAUGGAAACAUUCAUCUAUCUAACUGAACAUGAAGUAAGUCUUAACAUUUGUAAAAUUAAGAUGACACAGGAAAGAAAGAUCUGUAGAAGUCAAAUCAUUAGAUAAAAUAUUUAAAUUUUAGGAGCUGUGUCACCCAAAGUGGAUUAUUUCACCUUUCAGAUACUCAAUUUCUUCAUCUGUUGAAGUAGAAAUUCCAAAACAAACUCUAGAUUUAUUGUGAGAAAUACAUAAGGAAAUGCAUUGGAAAGCACCGUAGAAUAUCUACAGUUCUACACAAAUGAGGCUUAUCUUAAUAUUUGGUAAUAAAUUGCAACAUAUAUAAAAAUUUAAGAAUAUAAGUGUAUAUUGGCAGAGAGGCAACUGUAUCUUUGGAUUGGCCCAAGACAUCUUCUUGGAAAACGUGUGCUUUGAAUGAUGAGCAGGCUAUAAAAUACUUAAGAGUAGAAUUUUGCCAGGGCCUGUCCCAGGGAUAGCCUAGGUUAGAAGAGAUGAGUCAGGAUGGAUGUUAAGGAGAGAAAAAAAUGUAGCCUCUACUGAGGAACAAGGGUGUACGAGGUCAAGCAGGAGGUGCAGAGGGUUGAGAUGACACCGGGAGGCCAGACUGAGCACUUUACCAACUAUGCAGGACUGUCCCAGGAGAUUACUUGAAGGGAAAAGAGUGAUGGGAUUUUUAAAAGAGUUGCAUGAAUUUAGGACCAACUAGUAUAUUACCAUCUGCCAGAAUAUAAACUGAGAUUACUAUUAAUUUUACGAAAGUUAAACUUUGAUACUUUCUGUUAUAUCACACAAUUAAUUAUCUUGUGGUGAUAUACACUUUUAUUUUUUUUAAUUGUUAUAAACACAGGCUUGGGUCUUGUGAGUUAUAGACAAUUUAGUGGUCUUAGUCAGGAGAAAUAAACCAGUCUUCACAAAUUAAAAUAAACAUCUCCUUGGGCAUUGGAAAAUAAAAUAAGUGUUCACUGGUGCAAAAAGGGCAGAAAGAACAAGAGUUUUGCUUUGUUUUUAUUUUGUUUUAUUUUGCUUUGUCUUUUUUGGAAGUAGCAGUAAAAAUUCUACCUAGUAAAAAAUAAGGGUUUCUGGCCCAGCAUUUAAAGAGCUUGGAAGUUGUCAUGUGCCUUAACAAGUAAAAAGCUGAACAACCUGAAAAAUCAACAACUCUUCUUAGAUCCAUCAAAAAGUGAGAACUCCUUUUAGAUCCUUCAAAGAUUCAUCCAGGGAAGACUGCUAUCCCCAAAAUUAGAGAGACAGGUGAAUACAGAGAAUUACAACUUCCUGGAGCAAAACUCCUCAGCAGAAACCUCCAGGGGAACCAGAACUGUGAUUGACAAGUUGCUGGAGGCUCAGUGUGGUUAUGUCUGAGAACUUAAAAUUCCAGGGGACUCAAUCAGUCACAGUGAAUCAUCCACACUUUUCUUUUCUUAUACCUCCAGGAGUUCUACCAGGUCCUCACAGUGAGUAGUGGAGAAAAAUCCACUUGUGCUUCUAGCAGGGGGAGGGCAAAAAAGAACGAAACACCAGACCAUUAUGUUCUUAACAAGACCUGCCCUCAGAAGAAAGUAUUUUACCAGAGCACAUACUAUUGGGAUUUUUUUCAGAGCCUAACCAACAUGGGAGAAAGGAAAUACCCAAAUUCCACCCACUCUAGCCUUCCACGUGGGGGAAAGGAAAUACUCAACUCCAGCUCACUCUAGCCCCCCUGCCCCACCUAAGAGGGAGGGGGAGACUGUAUCUUCCACUCAAUUUGUCUGUGAAUCUAAUAAAUAUAAUAAACCUAUUAAUUUGCUCUGAAAAAUAAAGUCUAUUUAAAAAGAAAAGACCUCACAGGUGACGUCACUCAACGGUGAAAGACUGAAAUGUUUUCCCCUAAGGUCAGGAACAGAACAAGGUGCCUCCUCUCACCACUGCUAGUCAACCUUGUGCUGGAAGAUAUAAAACCAAAACAAUUACCAAGAAAAAGAAAUAAAAGGCAUCCAAAUUUAAAGUAAGAAGUAAAACCAUCUCUUCCCAGAUGACUGGAUCCUAAAUGUAGAAAAUCCCAAAGAAUCAACCAAAAAAGAAAACAAAACUACUAUAGUUAAUAAACAAAUUCAGCAAAGUUGCAGGGUUCAACAUCACACACAAAUAUUAUUUUUGCUUCCAUACAUCAGAAACUAACCCUCUGAAAAGGAAGUUAAGAACACAAUUUCAUUUAUAAUAGCAUCCAAAUGAAUAUAAUACCUGAGAAUAAAUUUACUCAAAGAAGUGAAAGUAUUGUAUAAUGAAAACUACAAAACAUUGCUGAAAGAAAUGAAAGAAUACCUGAAUACGUGAAAAGACAUUUCACGUUCCUGGAUUGGCAGACAUAAUAUUGUUAAAUGGCAAUGCUAACCAAAGUGACCUACCAAUUCAAUGGAAUCUCUAUUAAAAUUCCAGUAGCCUGUUUUGCAGAAAAGCCAAUCCUCAAAUUCAUAUGAAUUACAAGGAGCCCCAGAGAACACAAACAAUACUGAAAAAAGAAGAAACUCAGUGUCAAAUCCAUUCAGUGGGGAAAUACAGUCUCUUCAGCAAAUGGUGCUGGGACAAAUGGUUUCUCCAAGCCAAAGAAUGAAGUGGGACUUCUACAUCACACCAUACACAGCAAAAACCAAACAAACCCAAAAGUGGAUCAGUAACCUAGAUAUAGGAUCAAAAAUCAUACAAUUCUUAUUAGAAAACAGGAAUAAAUCUUCAUCACCUAGAUUUGGCUAUGAAUUUUAGAUAUGACACCAAAAACAUGAGCAACAAAAGUAAAAAUUGAUAAUUUGGAUUUUAUCAAAAUUAAAAACUUUUGUGCAUCAGCGACAUUAUAAAGAAAGAACCUACAGAAUGGGAGAAAAUAUUUACAAAUCAUAUUUCUAAUAAGGUCCUAUAUCCAUAAUAUAUAAAGAAUCCUUACAACUCAACAACAAAAAGUCAAAAAUCCCAAUUAAAAAAUGGUCAAAGGACUUGAAUAUACAUUCCUCCAAAGAAAAUAUACAAAUAGCCAAUAAGUGCAUGCAAAGAUGCUCAAAAUAAUUAGUUAUUAGGGUGCUGAAAAAAACCACAAUGGAAUAUCACUUCACAUUCACUAAGAUUGCUAUAAUUUUUUAGAAAAUAGCAAGUGUUGGUAAGAACGUAGAGAAACUAGAACCCUAACACAUUGCUUGUGAGACUUUAAAAUGCUUCAUCUGCUAUUUUGUGGUUUCCUCAAAAUGUUAAACGUAGAAUUAUCAUAUGGUCCAGUAAGUCCACUCCUAGGCAUAUAUGCAAAAUAAUUGGCAACAGGUACUCAAACAAAUAGAUGUACACACAUAUUCACAACAACGCUAUUUCAGAAGAUGGAAGCAACACAAAUGUCCAUCAACACAUUAGUGGAUGCACAAAUUGUAUAUAUAUAGCUACAGAAAAAGAGAGAUCCAAAUCAUUUGCUCACGUUUUAAACAAAUGUGUUUGUAUUUUGUUUUGUUACAAAUUUGUAAGUUUUCUUUACACAUUCUGAAUACAAGUUGAUUGUCAGAUAAAUGUAUUAUAAAUAUGGCUUAGCUUUUAGUUUUAUUAACACAGUCUUUUAAUGACCAGCAGUUUUUAAUGUUAAUAAGAUCUAAUUUUUUUCUUUAUGGUUAAUGCUUUUACUAUCUCAUAUAAGAAAUCUUCACCUAACCCAAUAUCACAAAUAUAGUCACUUAUUUUUUAAGAGGGCUUAUGCUUUUAGCUUUUACAUUGAGAUCUAUAUUCUACCUGCUGUCAUUGUGUGUGAGUGUGACUUGAAGGAGAUGAAAGUUCAUUUUUGCAAUAUGGCUAUCCAAUUGUUCUGGCAACAUUUGUUGAAAAACUGUCCUUCCUCCAUAAAAUUACAUUGACACCUUGACUAUAUGCAUUCGACUAUUUUUGAACUUUCUCUUGCAUUUCAAAGAUCUGCAUAUCUAACCCUUUACCUGCUUCAUACUGUCAUUUUUACAAUAUCUUGAAAUAGGGUCUUAAAAUCAGUUCCUCUGAUUCACACUAGUAUCCCAACUCUUCACCUAUCUGGAAACUGUAGAUCCCAGGAAAACAUCAAUCCACAGGUUCUGACAUUCAUUUAUUCAUCCCUACUUUUUUUCCUUUCUGUCAUAUUUUUGAGGGUUGUGCUUGGAUUGUAACAAGAGAAAUAUAUAUUGAAAUAUAUUAAUGUGUACGUAUCCCCUUCAUUUCUGUUACAUGCUCAUCUCUCUGAGCACCAUCUGCUUAUCUGAAGGAAAUGUGCUGUGGUUAUUUUAAUUGCUACAGCAGAAACACAAAAAGAGAGAAUAGGUCAAGUUUUAAAUUUAAUUGCAAAAAGAGAGAUAUCUGAAGUCUCUCAAAGGUAAACUUUAAUGGACAGAAGUUUUUUCUAAAUCCUUUAUGCUACUUAGCAUAGCAUGAACCAAGAUUGGAAGUAUAAAAGAGAGAAUCAUAUUAUGGUCAAAAUUAGGAGUGUGGUUUUAAAACAUGCCUGCAAAUUCAUUGAUAUUUGUUCAUCAAAUAGUGCAGUUUAAUUCUCUUCCACUUAAAUAUAGGUCACUUUUUAUGAACCUCUGCUAAUAAAUAGAGUUAGCACAAGAGAAACUGCUUGACUUUUGAUGCUAGGUUAGGAAAGGCCUGAUUCUUUCUCUUGGGAUGUUCAUCUUGGCAACCCAAUCAUCAUAGUAUGAGCUGCCCGAGCCACACGGAGAGGACAUGUGUCAUAUUUCCCGAUAGCACUAUCUUAGUUAACAAUUUACAGCCAACAUCCACCAGGAGAUAUGUAAAUAAAUCAGCCUUCAGAUCAUUCCAGCAUCCAACUUCUGGCAUCUAGUGAUCCUCUCCUAAUGCUGAGUGAAGCAAAAAUAAGCUGUACUCUCAAAGCUCUGUCUAAAUUGCUGAUUUGUGAUUAAAAAAUGUUUUUUCUCUAUACACUGAAUAUUGAACUAGUUUAUUUCACACCAAUACAUACCUGGAACAGAUUUGGGUACCAGCAGUGGUGCUACUCCUGGUAUAGUAAAACUCUUAGAGCAGGUGAGAAUGGCUUAGGCCCAGGUGGUGGGAGAAACUGGAAGGACAUCGAGGAGAGUGUAAGUGAGAGCCUAAAAAGCCUCAGAGUCUGUUGAGUUCACAGGUCUUCGGAAACAGGGGAAUUGUCCUGGAGGAGCUGUACUGGAGCAACUGUGCAUGAAAAGACUCAUCCACCUCCGGACCUAAUUUAGACAAUGAAAUAUUGAACUUUAAGGUGAACAUUAUUCCAUAAUAAAUGAGACUUUCUUGGGAUCAUGGGAAAGGGGUAAGUAUAUUUUACAUGUGGGAAGAAUAAGACAGAUUAUGAUAAUGUUAAAACAUGCCUGCAAACUCAUUGGCAUUUCUCCCCACCAAAAGAUGGAUUCUAAUUUCCCUCCUUUUGUGUAUGACCUGGUCUUAAUGACUAGCUUCUAAUUAAUCAGUGUCAGGGAAAUGACGAUUUAUAAAUUUCAAGGCUGGCUUCAAAAAGGCAGAGCCCCUUCUGUCUUUCUUCUCCCUCUUAGAAUAUUUAAACUUUGUACUCAGCAAUGAACGUUUAAGGAAGUAAAGAUAAUGUGGAGAGACCAGAGACCAGGUGUAGGUGUUUUGACUGGCACACACCCCUCUAUUUAAGUUCCCAGGCAAGAGUCAGUACCAAUCACUAGUCAUGUGAUUCACUUCAUAUAUGUAUCUGCCAUUUUAGAGAGACAGAAAGGAUGGAACUCUGAGUUACCACAUAUCCAGUUGUCCAAAAGAAUAAUUUAUAGUGAAAGAAGAAUUGUUUAAUCAAAAGAUUAUUUAAAAUGGCAAGGACACAUUUCUCCACUACAGAGCUCUGUGAUGGCUUACAAAAGAGAUCAGCUCAGCUCUGGAGGAAAGAAAAAAGAAUUUUUUUGCAUAUAUCUGAGUUCAUUUCAGUAGAGCUGCAAUCCCACUGCAAGUUUUGAAUUCAUAUUUUGAAUGUUCAGUGAAGAUUCACAAGUAUAUUUUGCUAAAAUAUGCCUAUACCUUAUGCUAUGCAAGAUUUUAUGGUUUAUUAAACCAAAACUGCGUUAUAAUUAUGCAACAUAAAGAUUAAAAUUAUGGCUUUAGUUAAACACAUAUGCUCCACAUUACAUAAAUAACAAAUCACAGACUAAGAACUUUCAGUGAUCUGAGGAGCAUAAACAGGAUAUUAAGAACAGCAUAUUAGCAUAGAAAUAAAGAAUCACUAUCUCUUCCAAAGAAGUGAAGGAAAUAUCUGGAAGGAUAUAAAAAUCUGUCAUGCACAGAUAUAAAAGUACUCAAAGUGAUUUCUUGUAAACCACUAAAUAGUUUACAAACUCUUUGAUGAAAGAAAGAAAAAGAAUGGAUCUUCUAAUUCUUACGUAUGUUAAAGUACUUGAUAGUUUCCUGUUCAGUUGGAAAUACAAAGAUUGCCAUCUAAACAGUCACUCUUUUUUAAUAUCUUUGUUUCUCCUUGUCUCUGUUGUCUUUUACCUAAUUUGCGCAUCCUCAUUCUCUUCUAUUGGCGUUUUAAGCUUGUUUAGGAAUAGGGCAAAAUAUAUAGGGUGACCAGAAUAACUUGUGUACAUAUAGUCUCACAUUACACUCAAGUUCCAAACUCCUAAUGCCUUCCAUUUUCUAGUUUUGCUGUUUUGGGUUGUUAAUAAAAAGGUGAUAGGUUUCAGGAAUCUCUAAACUGUUGCACCCUAUUGUUUGAAGAAAACAGUAAGAGUGUAAGGAGGAAAGAAACCUGAUUGGCUCUAAAAAAGACACUCAGAUUUCAGAUUAUGAGGAAAAUGAAAGCAUUAUACUAAAGUGAACAAAAUUUCCUUAACUCCCGAAUCUCUAAGUGCCCCCUACCCUCCGUAUUCACCUCUGUGCUUCCCUGUUCUCCCUUCUCUUACUUCCGUGUAUAUGCAGAAUUUUUCUUAACUUGGGGAGUGCUACUAGGAUGAAUGUGUUUACCAUUACAUGCUUCUUAGGAUGCACGGCAUUUUAGAUUCUCUAGAUUCAGGCUCUGUAAAGAAGAAAAGAACAAUCAACAAAACUGCUGAACUUAAAAGAAAAAAAAAAAGCUAAAGCUAAUUAGCAAACAGUUGUAAAUGGGUUUAUUUACUUCAGGACCCUUGAUUUCUUCCGGCUGUGCUUUAACUUCCCUACCCUGAUUUCUAUAUCCAUCAUAUUUCAUUUCUCUGAAAUCAGCUUAUGCACUUAAUGGUCCAGACUGGGCAAUCACUGUUGAUUGAA
rnacentral:lncRNA from 1 species